ensembl:lncRNA
AGAAAGGUGACUGGAAAGGAAAAACUCAAUGCAUCAUGGGAAUCCCCCGGCAGCCUACGUCUAUUGCAGCAUAACUAAGGGAGGAUUCAGGGUCACCUGGUCCAGCCCUAACUAUAUGCUUUAGCAAAAAGGAAAGUUUUAAGCCUAAUCUUGAAAGUAGAGAUAGUGUCUGUCUCCCGAAGCCAAACUGGAAGCUGGUUCCACAGAAGAGGGGCCUGAAAACUGAAGGCUCUCCCUCCCGUUCUACUUUUAAAUACUCUAGGAACAACAAGUAGGCCUGCAGAGCGAGAGCGAAGUGCUCUAAUAGGGUGAUAUGGUACUACAAGGUCAUUAAGAUAAGAUGGGGCCUGAUUAUUUAAGACCUUGUAUGUGAGGAGCAGGAUUUUGAAUUCAAUUCUGGACUUAACAGGAAGCCAAUGAAGGGAAGCCAAAACAGGAGAAAUAUGUUCUCUCUUUCUAGUCCCUGUCAGGACUCUUGCUGCAGCAUUUUGGAUUAGCUGAAGGCUUUUCAGUGAGUUUUUUGGACAUCCUGAUAAUAAUGAGUUACAGUAGUCCAGCCUGGAAGUAAUAAAUGCAUGAACUAGUUUUUCAGCGUCACUCUGAGACAGGAUAUUUCUAAUUUUAGAGAUGUUGCGCAAAUGGAAGAAAGCAGUCUUACAUAUUUGUUUAAUAUGUGCGUUGAAGGACAUAUCCUGGUCAAAAAUGACUCCAAAGUUCCUCACAGCGUUACUGGAGGCCAAGGUAAUGCCAUCCAGAGUAAGAAUCUGGUUAGAUACCAUAUUUCUAAGAUUUUCAGGGCCGAGUACAAUAACCUCAGUUUUAUCUGAAUUAAGAAGCAGAAAGUUAGCGGCCAUCCAGGUCUUUAUGUCUUUAAGACAUUCCUGCAGUUUAACUAAUUGGUGUGUGUUAUCUGGCUUCAUGGACAGAUAGAGCUGGGUGUCAUCAGCAUAGCAGUGAAAAUGUAUGCUAUGUCUUCUAAUGAUGCUGCCUAAGGGAAGCAUGUAUAAUGUAAACAGAAUUGGUCCUAGCACUGAACCCUGUGGAACUCCAUAAUUAACCUCAGUGUGUGAAGAGGACUCUCCAUUUACAUGCACAAAUUGGAGUCUAUUAGAUAGAUAUGAUACAAACCACUGCAGUGCAGUACCUGUAAUACCUACAGCAUGUUCUAAUCGUUCUAAUAGGAUAUUAUGGUCAACAGUAUCGAAUGCUGCACUAAGGUGUAGCAGGACAAGCACAGAGAUGAGUCCACUGUCAGAGGCCGUAAGAAGAUCAUUUGUAACCUUCACUAAAGCUGUUUCUGUGCUGUGAUGAGCUCUGAAACCUGACUGAAACUCUUCAAAUAAACCAAAUACAGGACACCGAUAUAUCGUUUCUCCAACCUUCGACUCCAGGACGACGAAAACUCCACUGCAGCUGAUCAUGAAAGCGGCACGAGCAGCAAUAGCACAGCCUGCCAACAGGACUCAGAUGAUGAUCUCAUUGAAUGACACAGCAGACAUGAUUGACACCAGCUGCACUGAAAUGGACUGCAUGUUGCCUUGAUUUUCUCUUUUUUAUUGAAGCUCCCCAAAUGUUUGAAUGUCUUAAUUUAUUGAGCUGACUUUGCUUUUUUCACUCUUUGUACAUAUAUGUAUGUUUUCUUGAUUUACAUGUUUAACACAUUGUACUUCUGUACAACAUAAAAAUAAAACCAAAAACAGAAUGUGCAUUUAACAUGAAACAAAUUCUGCAUAUUAUGGAGUCUUCAUCAAAAUGUUACAGGUUAAAUUAUACUCCAAUAAAUUUCUGCUUAAAACCUGUCC